rnacentral:lncRNA from 1 species
UGUGACUAGCACUUGCUUCCGCCCAUGUCCUGGUGUUGGAGGAGAGUGGAGCUUGUGAAGCCCAGUCUGGAGUGGCAUGCUCUUCUUGGUUCAGUCCAAAGACAGAGGCUUCUAAAGAUAUGGAUAUUGUCUCCAACUGCACAAUAAGAAGUAUGGAAUAACUGAAGAAACUUAUCCAAAUGACCUCACCCUUUCCAGUGGCUAUCUGGAUGAGACAUUAACAUGCCUGAUGUAAGCCUUGGUAAACACAAAGUUGUCAAUCUACUUCGGUCCAAUAGGAUGAAUUCAGAGCCUAAAGUAGAAUGACAGCAAUCCCUUCCAGGGAAUGAGAGUGCUCAGGAAGUAGACUUCAAUGUUUCCAACUCAGAUUCCUGGAAGAGUCAUUUUAAUAAUCAAAAUGUAUUUGGAAGAGUGUUGAAAAAUGGAAAUGUCCAAAGGUGUAUCGUCUUGGUCUAUUUGUUUCAUCUCUAGUUUCCUACUCAAUGAAAAUGAGAUGAAAGCUUCAAUGGAUCUCAUGUUAUAGAGGGUAAUUUAUGAGAGUGGAAAGGAUCUACUUUAAGUAACUAUAUUUCUUUCAAAUCUGUUAUUUCUAAAUGUGUAUGAAGUUUUACCUUCUGAAACUAUGUUCAGUUUGGUACCCUUUCCUAUUUUAAAUGCCAU